rnacentral:misc_RNA from 1 species
GAAUGAAGCUGGAUGUGUGACCUAUAAUUUUGCAGGUAUGCUCGUUUGCAGGAACUUCAAUAGUUGCUCGGGUCUGCAAUUUCGAGCCGAGCCGGGCAGACAGGUUACUGGGAAAGCUUUAGAAUCGGGUCGAGGUUGUAGGCUACCCCACCGUUUUUCGACGUACCAGAAGCGUCUCAAGGGUCAGAAUUGGUACAGGUAAACCCGAACCCUCAUUUUUCUUAAUUAUCCAGUGCCUGAUUUCGAUUAAAAAUCUAUAAAAUAUUUGUGGUAGGUUAGAAAAAUAUAAUUCCUUUUACGUUAGCUCUAUAAUAUUGCUAAGGACCGCGGGGC